rnacentral:rRNA from 1 species
GACGAACGCUGGCGGCGUGCUUAACACAUGCAAGUCGAACGGAAAGGCCCUGCUUUUGUGGGGUGCUCGAGUGGCGAACGGGUGAGUAACACGUGAGUAACCUGCCCUUGACUUUGGGAUAACUUCAGGAAACUGGGGCUAAUACCGGAUAGGAGCUCCUGCUGCAUGGUGGGGUUGGAAAGUUUCGGCGGUUGGGGAUUGACUCGCGGCUUAUCAGCUUGUUGGUGGGGUAGUGGCUUACCAAGGCUUUGACGGGUAGCCGGCCUGAGAGGGUGACCGGCCACAUUGGGACUGAGAGACGGCCCAGACUCCUACGGGAGGCAGCAGGGGGGAAUAUUGCACAAUGGGCGGAAGCCUGAUGCAGAAACGCCGCGUGCGGGAUGACGGCCUUCGGGUUGUAAACCGCUUUCGCCUGUGACGAAGCGUGAGUGACGGUAAUGGGUAAAGAAGCACCGGCUAACUACGUG